rnacentral:rRNA from 1 species
UACAGAGGUCUCAAGCGUUGUUCGGAUUCAUUGGGCGUAAAGGGUGUGUAGGUGGCGCGCUAAGUCGGGUGUGAAAUUUCGGAGCUUAACUCCGAAACUGCAUUCGAUACUGGCGUGCUUGAGGACUGGAGAGGAGACUGGAAUUCAUGGUGUAGCAGUGAAAUGCGUAGAGAUCGUAAGGAAGACCAGUGGCGAAGGCGGGUCUCUGGACAGUUCCUGACGCUGAGGCACGAAGGCCAGGGGAGCAAAACGGG